AUUGAACGCUGGCGGCAUGCCCUACACAUGCAAGUCGAACGGUAACAGGUUAAGCUGACGAGUGGCGAACGGGUGAGUAAUAUAUCGGAACGUGCCCAGUCGUGGGGGAUAACGUAGCGAAAGCUACGCUAAUACCGCAUACGAUCUACGGAUGAAAGCGGGGGAUCGCAAGACCUCGCGCGAUUGGAGCGGCCGAUAUCAGAUUAGGUUGUUGGUGAGGUAAAAGCUCACCAAGCCUGCGAUCUGUAGCUGGUCUGAGAGGACGACCAGCCACAGUGGGACUGAGACACGGCCGAGACUCCUACGGGAGGCAGCAGUGGGGAAUGUUGGACAAUGGGGGCAACCCUGAUCCAGCAAUGCGGCGUGCAGGAAGAAGGCCUUCGGGUUGUAAACUGCUUUUGGACGGAACGAAACGGUCUGGGUUAAUACCCUGGGCUAAUGACGGUACCGUAAGAAUAAGCACCGGCUAACUACGUGCCAGCCGCCGCAGUAA
rnacentral:rRNA from 1 species